rnacentral:sRNA from 1 species
UUUUAGCCCAGAUGGAAAUGAAAAGCCCGCAAAGGAAAAACAAAUUGAUUUUGUUGCUAAAAAAUAGCGACUUAAGAAGCUUCUUUUUUUGCUUACAAAAUUUUUGUUUUUCCUGUGGACUUGAAAUGUACAGCUGGAUUAGCU